GCGGCAGCGGCGGUAGCGCAUCGGGAGAUGGAGGGUUAUAGAACGAGGAGACGGUUGUAGUCACUAGCGGCGGCGGCGGAGGUAACGUCUAGAGGUCCAGUGGUACCCUGGUGCGGCGGGGGUGGACGCGCCUUGGGCUCCCUUACCGCGAUCCUUGGGUUCGACGUCCCAUCCGUCGCUCCUCGCCGCGUUGUUCCGGGACGGCCGACACGACAUGCGGUCCUUUCCCCGCCCGCGUGCCCCUCCCCGGCGCCACGCACGCUCCCAGCGGCUCCGGAGGCACGGGCACCAGCGUCGGCUCCCGGUGCCAUCCGUCCUCGGGGGUGGCGUAGGCGACAGCUCUAGGGGCAGUGCACGACGGUCCACUCCAACAAAAGGCCCCCGCGUGUUGUGGGUCCUCGGGGGUGUUGCGGUGGACGCUACUAGGGCGGCGGUCACAGUCGGUGCCGGUACAGGCUGCGGGAGCCGGAGAAGUAGUAGCCCAGCGUGAAAGAAACGGACACAGUUGGCACAAUGACACGGCCGCUAGAGGAGGCUGUACUUCAAAGACCCGACUAAGUCCGGCGGGCUCCCCGGUGUUCCUGUGCCCUUCAGCUGGGGCACGAGCCAAGGGAGACGGCGAUAUCAGAUAGUAGAACCGGAUUAAGACGGCGGGAGGAGCUAAGGCAAAUGGGCGACAGUGCGGGAUGAGGAUGUGGGUGCCAGUCGGAUCGAGGUGUAGAGGGAGUUCAAACAGUAACACAUUGGGGAGUGUUAAACCACAGAAGGGUCGGCAUCAAGGAGACACGGACCGCGACGUUUGAGGGGCGAGUCGCCAGUGCUCUAGAGUGACCUUUGUUAAUAUGUCCCACUCUACGUCUUGAUGGUGGAUUAAACCCUUGACGUAGUAAUUAAUCCACGCCGACAUCCAAAUCAGACGCAACGGGAGAUUAAAAGAUCCACAAGUCAUGUAUUAAACUUACAUGCUUACCGAAUCGUAGUUGAAGUAGGCGUAACGAGACGAGGUUAACAACGUAAGGGGAUCGAUUUAAUUAAACAGACCAACAGAGGUAACGGUUUUUUUUCACCUGAUUUAAAAGAUCGCAAGUACACAUAAACUAAGAUUACAUCACAAAUUCUUACUUUAGUGAAUUCAAAACGUGAGGUCAUGGAUAUAUCAGUUACAUGGAAGAUCUUCAUACCACGUAGACUUAAAUCACCGUAAACGUAGGUAUACUAUCUAUUACAGAUACCUCACCGAAUGAGUUGGUUCAUAGUACCAAAAACCACUUUUAUAAUUCCAUUCCAACAGGGACGAAAGAAGAACAAACUACAUGACUGAGGACUGAGGACUACGUACUUACAACAAAUAAGACUAUUUAUUACAAACUAAUCAAACACAUACGUUGAGUCUCGAUACUAUCUACUUUAACCUAACAAAGACCUUGAAGUUUACUAAGACUUGUAUUCAUUAUUGUUUUACCUUGAUACAUACGACCUUUGCGUUAUUUCACGUCAAUACGUACACAAAACUGUACGAAUCUCCAGUGUUGCACGGAACCUGCGAAUAGUGUUAGGAGUCGUUCUACUGUUUUCACGUAUCCACGACCACAUAAAGAUUAUGAGUAUAGAGUAUCCACGAUUAUUGUUAGACCACAUAAAAAAAAAACUCCCGUGCUUCUUUAUUAUAACUUCACAACAUCCAACUUUUAUAUUAACUGCUUUUUGUGUGUCCCUUUUUCCAGAACGAUCUUUAACAAAUACUACGGCUUAAGAGAGGGGAACAUUAAUCUUCGAAGAUCGGAAUCUAAACUACUGAGUGGACUAGUGAUAUUAAAUAGUAAAGUUGAUGCUGUGUCCAUUAAAAGCUGUGAGGGAAAAACGGAGACUUGUUCAAAUUAUUACUGAAGCUACAAAUCUUAUACGAGGAAUACAGACAAUAGCAAAGAAUUUUGCUGUGUAUAUAUUCUGGGUUGAUAAACUAACAACAAAACAAAUUAGUCUAGUAACCCCUUCUAAGCUAUGGUACGAAGAAUAAAGCCAACUGGUAAAAGAUUUCAACAACUCGCUGUAACACAAGUAUAUAUUACAUGGUUUAAUAAUCAUGAUCUGCAGAUAUGUAAGAUGGAAGUUAUAAAAAGCCUUGUUUCUAAGUAGAAGAAACCACGGCAAAGUACUGUAUUUUCUUAAGUAGUUUGUGUAAAAAAGAGCUCAAAAACAGCUCAUAACAUAUUGACUACAACGGGUCGGAUAAGAAGAUACAAUUAUCGAUAGGUCAAUAUAGAUAAGAAAACAAACGUGAAGCACUUUCUACACACCGGAUGUUAUCACACUCACAAUGGAGAGGAAGUUCGAUUGAAGAAAAAAAGUCUUUCGGAAGAACUUCUAUACAUCGGUAGUUAUAAAAUGAUGUGGAAGACAUCUCUUUCUUUCUAUCCCUAACCUGACCAACAACAACAAUGAAAACAGACUCUCUAUACCCUGUGUGUACCUCUCUACCUUGUCGGCCCCCCGAUCCUACGGAGAACUAGACGUCCUCGAUUUAAACGACGGCUUCAAUGAGACCAUAGAUUGACUGUACAUUUCCUCAGUACUUGUCCACUUGGGUAUGACUUUUACGGUGUACACAUGUUAUAUUUGAAGACCUAUUCGUACCUAUGUCUUUACUCGUAAAUAAGGGUUAACAAACUCUUUCUGACACCUCUAACUAUAGUUCAUGCCUCAUACUUCCAAAGUACCGUACUGAUUUCAGUUAAUGUUGUCCAUUAUACAAGGUUUUUUUAUGUUGUCCAUUAAACGAAUACCAGAACGAUUAGCUCUUUUAAAAGUAAAAGAAACAGCUCCUUGAACAAAAAUCGACAAAACAUCGUCAUUAACUAAGAAGAAGUAACAAGACGUAAUAUUAUUUAUUACAACCCCAAUAUUCAAAAAAACAAAGAAAAGAAUUCUUUUCUUGGUCAAGGUGACUGAAACUAUCCAAGUCAAUAAAUUAAACAGAACGAACGAUGAACUUUUAGACAGGUGGUGAUUAUCACCAAAGGGAGAGGUCUAAUAUUGGGUCCUUGUGUCCUUUGGGGACCUGAAAGGUUUUGAUCCGUUUAGUGGGGGACAGUGACUAAUACCACCAAAAACGCUCGUCAAAACGGAUGCACUGUUCAAAGGCCAAUUCCUUUAACCUAAACUAACGGUGCGACCUGGGAGAACUAGGAUCGCAGCUUGUCUCGGACCCCAUCCCCCGCAGUGCCGCCGACCAACUGUUCGACCAAUCAAGAGCAUGCAGGGCCAGCGACGACAAAAAAUCCAGACACCAUUUCGCAACACUUCUAACCCCGACCCCAAACCCCGCCACCUGUAUCCCGAAACCCCACCGUAACUAGAAACUAACAACAUCGGGAAGCUAAACCCAUCAAGGACAACUAAACCUCGCCGUCUAUCUCCCCAAACCCCGUUUACUUUUAGGAAUUAGUUAGAAUGUACUAGACGCCCUCCAAUAAAAAUCUGGUACGUCAUCUCCUUGACGUACAGUUAAGUAAUUCUAUCUGUUUGUUCAGACUUUUUUGCGACGGUUCUUACCGGUUCGUGGGUUACGUACUAUCCUGACUUCUUUGACUUUGACAUGUUACAACAUGGUACCCCGAAUAUACAGUCAAUUUAAUGAGAACCAUCACUUUCCUUUGUCCCUUGUAUUCGAUAGUUCGUGCAACAUACAACAUACUCUCUAUAUGUCCCUUAUCCCUUGUUUCUCUACAAACUCCGUGAGACAAAAAAACCAUCGAACUAGCCGCGAAACACCCUCCGUCUCGUCCAUUCAGGGCUCGAGAGUUACCGAGUUCCACUAACCGUGAAUGCAUAGUAUCAGCUAGAAAAACCUUCUAACCCCUACCCCACCUCUCCGCAUCCCUCCAAACCCGACCCAAUAUCACUCAACGUCCAAAGUCCAAUAAACGUGAUGAUCGACCCAGUUUUAGAGGUACCGAACGUAAAUACUAGUCGUUGUACAUGAAACAUAAACUAGUUAUUUGUAUCUAUAAGUACCCCAGCACCUCAUCCUUACAUCGAUCCUACUUUUAUGUUGAGUGUGCAUGGUCACAUCAUCAUGUAGUUUGAAAGAAAAUUAUCGUAUGCACACACUAGUGAGUUUAUAUUAUUGUGACAAAGUACUCAAGUCUUUAAACUUUUUUAAGUCUUCGUUUAGUAUUAUACACGCCGGUCUUUAUACACCAAAAAUACGAACAAACAUCUAACGACAGCUCAAGUAGUUAAAUCCCCAAUCUGAUAACUUUACUAGAUAUAGGUCUUCCGUAUAUACACACACACACUACAACACCCAGACUAACGUGUACCUAAUUUAGAAUGUAUACACGUUUGACGUUUCCUGAACAUAUACACAAAUAAAACGUCUAUACUGUGGUGAGUUAAUGGAUAGACAAGCCAAAGUAAAGGCUCCACUUAACGUAGUACUACUUUCACUUACCUUCAUAAACUUACCUUCCAGUCCUUACAGGUGUUAACUCACACUGUUUUACACAGAUGUUAUCAACUUCUUUGUGGAACGUCUAGUACAAAGGAUAAGACUACUUCAUGAUUUACACUGUUGAAACAUGACCUUCAAAGGAAAUUUCCCGUGUCCACGAGAACAACAAUACUUACUGCUUCUUAGAUUUGUUCUCGUCGAUGUUCCUCUUUUCCGGUUAGUUCGUUCUUGUCUCGUUCAAGGACAAGGUACUUCUGCUGUUUCAAGUCGAGGACCAGGUAGUUGUUUCGUUCGUGGAUGUUGUAGAUUCGGUGGUUUAUCCUUCUUCUUCCGGAGUUGAAGAGUUUUAUUAGGACUGUGACGUGGAAAGAUACUCUCUCGUUUCUUGUCUUCCUUUCGUGUAUGUGUUAGUAGAAUUGGAGGAAGGUACCGUAGAAGAAUAGUUAAUCGUAGUCCCAGCUAUAGAGUCGGUUACGGUUUGGUCAGUCCUAAGAGUACCAACAAUAUACCGUUAUUUACUUGAACAUCAAUGUAUAUCACUUUGUCUUGACUUGAACAUCAAGUACCAACUAACAAAACGUACGAGACCAAGUACGAAAUAAUAAUACAUUUUGAUGAUGACCAUCGUGAACAAGGGAUAAUACACAGUGUACGUGACAAGCUACUACACCCACACUAUACCCGUACUGACCAAGAAUACACUAAAGGGAC
rnacentral:rRNA from 1 species